rnacentral:misc_RNA from 2 species
UCACCCCUCAAGCCCCGUGCUUGGUGUUGGACGGAUUUUGGUCGUGUAACAACGGCCCCUCCUAAAGACAAUGACGGCGGCCUGCGGAUCCCCCGGUACACUGAGCUUUUAACUGAGCACGUAUCGGACAAGGGCGCCCAGGACACGGUCCUUCUCCUCAACCAGGAAAUUUCUUCAA